rnacentral:rRNA from 1 species
UACUCUUGACAUCCAGAGAAUCCAGCGGAGACGCAGGAGUGCCUUCGGGAGCUCUGAGACAGGUGCUGCAUGGCUGUCGUCAGCUCGUGUUGUGAAAUGUUGGGUUAAGUCCCGCAACGAGCGCAACCCUUAUCCUUGUUUGCCAGCGAGUAAUGUCGGGAACUCCAGGGAGACUGCCGGUGAUAAACCGGAGGAAGGUGGGGACGACGUCAAGUCAUCAUGGCCCUUACGAGUAGGGCUACACACGUGCUACAAUGGCGCAUACAGAGGGCAGCCAACUUGCGAAAGUGAGCGAAUCCCAAAAAGUGCGUCGUAGUCCGGAUUGGAGUCUGCAACUCGACUCCAUGAAGUCGGAAUCGCUAGUAAUCG